GGCUCAGGAUGAACGCUGGCGGCGUGCUUAACACAUGCAAGUCGAACGAAGCUCCUAAACCUGAGAUUCGUCAAGGGCGAGGGAUGACUUAGUGGCGGACGGGUGAGUAAUGCGUGAGCAACCUGCCCUUCAGAGGGGACACAGCUGGAAACGGCUGCUAAUACCGCAUAAAGUACAGAUGAGGCAUCUCGACUGUACCAAAGAUUUAUCGCUGAAGGAUGGGCUCACGUCUGAUUAGCUAGUUGGUGAGGUAAUGGCUCACCAAGGCUGCGAUCAGUAGCCGGACUGAGAGGUUGGCCGGCCACAUUGGGACUGAGAUACGGCCCAGACUCCUACGGGAGGCAGCAGUGGGGAAUAUUGGGCAAUGGGCGCAAGCCUGACCCAGCAACGCCGCGUGAAGGAAGAAGGCUUUCGGGUUGUAAACUUCUUUUGGCAGGGACGAAGAAAGUGACGGUACCUGCAGAAUAAGCUCCGGCUAACUACGUGCCAGCAGCAGC
rnacentral:rRNA from 1 species